rnacentral:rRNA from 1 species
GAGAGCUUGCUCUCAAGAAGUUAGCGGCGGACGGGUGAGUAACACGUGGGUAACCUGCCCAUAAGACUGGGAUAACUCCGGGAAACCGGGGCUAAUACCGGAUAACAUUUUGAACUGCAUGGUUCGAAAUUGAAAGGCGGCUUCGGCUGUCACUUAUGGAUGGACCCGCGUCGCAUUAGCUAGUUGGUGAGGUAACGGCUCACCAAGGCAACGAUGCGUAGCCGACCUGAGAGGGUGAUCGGCCACACUGGGACUGAGACACGGCCCAGACUCCUACGGGAGGCAGCAGUAGGGAAUCUUCCGCAAUGGACGAAAGUCUGACGGAGCAACGCCGCGUGAGUGAUGAAGGCUUUCGGGUCGUAAAACUCUGUUGUUAGGGAAGAACAAGUGCUAGUUGAAUAAGCUGGCACCUUGACGGUACCUAACCAGAAAGCCACGGCUAACUACGUGCCAGCAGCCGCGGUAAUACGUAGGUGGCAAGCGUUAUCCGGAAUUAUUGGGCGUAAAGCGCGCGCAGGUGGUUUCUUAAGUCUGAUGUGAAAGCCCACGGCUCAACCGUGGAGGGUCAUUGGAAACUGGGAGACUUGAGUGCAGAAGAGGAAAGUGGAAUUCCAUGUGUAGCGGUGAAAUGCGUAGAGAUAUGGAGGAAC